UAUUUCCACAUUACCAUACUCAGAAGCCACAGGAAAUACUUGCGUCUACUCUUCAACAACACUGCUUAUCAAUUUGUGGCCCUACCAUUCGGCCUCUCCACAGCACCAAGGACUUUUACCAAGUGCAUGGCGCCUGUGGCUGCAUACCUUCGCCUCCAAGGAGUCCAGAUAUACCCUUACAUAGGCGACUGGUUGAUUGUCUCCAAAUCGAAACACCAAGCUCUAUGGGACACCCAGUACGUCCUCCAAACACUGGAGUCCUUGGGUCUCACUAUAAACUACGAGAAGUCCAAACUACGUCCUUCUCGGGUUGUGGAUUACAUCGGAGCGAGGAUAGAUUCUGUCCGAGCUCGGAUGUUCAUGCCUCCGGAACACAUUCAGAAAAUACUGGGAGCCAUCAAGAAAUUCAAGCCCCACGCAAGAGUAAAAGCAAAGCUUGCACAACAUCUGUUGGGUCUCAUGGCUUCGACAACGGCCACUCUGUCUCACGCCCGCCGCAAGAUGCGCUCCCUGCAGGUUUGGAUGCUGUCACUCUUCAAUCCACUCCACGACAGCCAAAACAGACGUCUGAUAGUCACCCCAGAACUGGCUCUGCAGUUACAAUGGUGGACCUUUCUACCCCACCUGUUGGUGGGACGUCCCUUCAGCCCUGUUCAGCUAGCAACACAGGUUACUACGGAUGCCAGUCCUCUAGGAUGGGGGGCACACUGCGAAGGUCAUCAGAUCCACGCACUGUGGUCCCCUCAGGAAAAACAGCUUCAUAUAAACCAUCUAGAGCUCUUGGCCAUCAUAAAGGCUCUGAAGUCUUUUCUUCCCCUUGUGCGGGGCAGGGCAAUUCAGCUCGUCACAGACAAUACCACAGCUAUGUUCUACGUGAACAAGCAGGGGGGUACAAAGUCGAAGUCUCUUCUCCUCCUGUCUAUACAUCUUUGGGAAUGGUGCUACCAGGAGCACAUCUAUCCUGUAGCCAUUCACAUCUCCACCACAGACAAUCUAGUGGCGGACGAGCUGAGUCGUCGUUCCUCCCAGAACCACAAAUGGGAAUUGGACUUGGGAGUAUUCCACAAGAUAUGCGACAGGUGGGGGACUCUGAAAAUCGAUAUGUUCGCCACUGUGACCAACAAGAAGUGUCUGAACUAUGCGUCCCAUGCAGGGAGGGGUCGCGGAUCGUUAGGCGAUGCUUUCAUGAUUCCCUGGCACAAGGGCCUCCUGUACAUGUUUCCUCCCAUCCCCAUGGUUCAGAGGUCUCUUGUCAGGGCUCUCCAAAAGAAAGCAGAAGCAAUCUUGAUUGCACCUUGGUGGCCCAGACAACCUUGGUUCUCUCUGCUUCUUCAGACAGCUGUCGACAAAC
rnacentral:lncRNA from 1 species